rnacentral:tRNA from 1 species
GCUGCUCGUAAGUCCUUGUGGUAUAGUAUCCGGCACCGGUUUCCUAAACCGAAGGUCGGAGGUUCGAGUCCUCCCGGGCGCG